UGGGCUGGGAGGGGAAGGGAACAAUAACACACUUCUCACUUUAGCUCCAUGGCUCAAAGCAUUUAGUAGGGAGCUGGUACAAGGGGAAAAAAGAAAAGGGAAUUUAUGGUUUGAAAUCCUACAUGGCUCUUCUUGCCAACAAAAACACACGGCUCCCACAGUCUGACCUGCUCAAACAGCCAUCUAGGCUUUAGGGGCUGAAGCCUAAUGGUUCCCCAGGGGCAAAGCUGCAGUUAUGCCAACAGCCAUCAAGAGGAACCAACCGGAAAAUUCCACUCAUUCUGCCACAUGGCUGAGUUGUAAAGCAGAUCCCGCCCCUCUCCGCACCCAGUUAGGAAGGAAGAAUGGAUAGCAGUACAGAAAGUCAGUUUCAAACACGCUGCAAAGCUGACCCUGAAUAACCUCAUUUUCUCUCUUGGACCCUGAACAUGAGCCAGUUACCUGUGACUUAAUACUUUUCUACCCACCUCAUCUCAGUGCGAGACCAAGGGCCAUUAUGUAGACCCCUCUCUCAAUAUGACCAAUUUAAAGUGACUGUCUACAUACCUUCCUCGGCUCUAAAACACAGAGGGAUAGUUGUGAACAGAAAUGCAUUCAUUUGGCAAGUAUUUACAAGGACUACUAUGAGAAUGACACCAAGAAAAGUUCUGUGGAAGAUAUAAAAAAGAGAACAGAGCCUGCUCAAGGAGCUCACAAUCUGGUUGAAAGAUAAUAGAUGAAACAGCAAAAAGUUAAACAGCAACACAACAGAAGAGGCAAAGGUGAGAUGUGAUGGACACCCUUAGUCACUGUUGGUAAGAAUACAAUUUAUACAGCUUUCCAAGGAGGCAAAUGUUGGCAGUAGACACACAGAAAAAGACCAAAAGAAAUACACCCACCUGUGUUUCAGUUUCCAAGCACAGAAGAACAUCCAGAGCAAAGAGCAUCUGGGCAUGGUCAGCAGGCCGGAAUGGAGUGUGCUCAUGUGAGGAAGCGCGUGUAGGUGGGACAGGGAAGGUAGGAGGUGAUGAGAGAAUGGUAACUGGGAAACAGUAAAUGACAAGGGAAGUAUGGUGGGUGAGGUCACCGGAUUAAACAAUACAAAUCUAAGGUUUGGGUUAUCGCUACUCCUUUGGGAGACAGAGAUGAGCCUCUGGGUGGGGUUGGGGGGGAGGUAAUCGGCAGAAAAAUGUGUUCCUGUGAAUGUUCUGCUCGCUUUCCUCCAGCUCCCUCAUUCCAAUCGCAUUCCAGCUUACAGAAGAUAAAGCUGGGUGGGGAUUUUUGUUUAUCUUUCUAAGAAGCCCUGAGAACAGAGAAGGAAGAUGUCGGGCCGCAAGGUCCGGGUGAGAAAGCUGCCUCCACAGAACACAAAUUCAUUUUAUUUCCCACCAAGAUUCCCACUGAGCUGCAAAAUGCGAUUCUUCGAGUUGAGUAUUCUUACUUCCCUAUAUUACAGAUGAAGAAACUGCGCUGUAGAGAAGUUAACUAAUUUGUCCAAAGUCACACAACUUUUUAAGUGGUAGGGCUGUGAUUCCCACCCAGGUCUGACGCCGAAGUCGAUGCCUUUAGCCAAAUAACUACUGAGUAGCCAGGGAAGAAAUCAGAAGUCAGAUUCUUUCCUCAGCCACGUCCAGUCUACUAAUAACCUCAUCCAAGACAAUCUUCUAGGCUCAUUAAAAGAUGUUCUUCCCCAUACCCUUCCCUCCCCAGUGAAUCUUCUGCCCAUUCAUUGUUACACUCUAUGUAAUCAACCAACAAAAGAAACUCAGGGCAGCCACUCACCUAAGCCUGCCCGCUUUCCCCUUGAGAGUGUACUAUCCAUCCCUUAGUAAAU